UGGCUCAGAUUGAACGCUGGCGGCAGGCUUAACACAUGCAAGUCGAGCGGGGAUAGGGUGCUUGCACCUGAUCCUAGCGGCGGACGGGUGAGUAAUGCUUAGGAAUCUGCCUAUUAGUGGGGGACAACGUUCCGAAAGGGACGCUAAUACCGCAUACGUCCUACGGGAGAAAGCAGGGGAUCUUCGGACCUUGCGCUAAUAGAUGAGCCUAAGUCGGAUUAGCUAGUUGGUGGGGUAAAGGCCUACCAAGGCGACGAUCUGUAGCGGGUCUGAGAGGAUGAUCCGCCACACUGGGACUGAGACACGGCCCAGACUCCUACGGGAGGCAGCAGUGGGGAAUAUUGGACAAUGGGGGCAACCCUGAUCCAGCCAUGCCGCGUGUUGUGAAGAAGGCCUUUUGGUUGUAAAGCACUUUAAGCGAGGAGGAGGCUUACCUGGUUAAUACCCGGGAUAAGUGGACGUUACUCGCAGAAUAAGCACCGGCUAACUCUGUGCCAGCAGCCGC
rnacentral:rRNA from 1 species